UAGGGAAUCUUCCGCAAUGGACGCAAGCCUGACGGAGCAACGCCGCGUGAGUGAAGAAGGAUUUCGGUUCGUAAAACUCUGUUGUUAGAGAAGAACAGCGCAUAGAGUAACUGUUAUGCGUGUGACGGUAUCUAACCAGAAAGCCACGGCUAACUACGUGCCAGCAGCCGCGGUAAUACGUAGGUGGCAAGCGUUGUCCGGAUUUAUUGGGCGUAAAGCGAGCGCAGGCGGUCAAUUAAGUCUGAUGUGAAAGCCCCCGGCUCAACCGGGGAGGGUCAUUGGAAACUGGUUGACUUGAGUGCAGAAGAGGAGAGUGGAAUUCCCUGUGUAGCGGUGAAAUGCGUAGAUAUAUGGAGGAACACCAGUGGCGAAGGCGACUCUCUGGGCUGUAACUGACGCUGAGGCUCGAAAGCGUGGGUAGCAAACAGG
rnacentral:rRNA from 1 species